ACACUCCUGCGGGAGGCAGCAGUGGGGAAUAUUGGACAAUGGGCGCAAGCCUGAUCCAGCCAUGCCGCGUGAGUGAUGAAGGCCCUAGGGUUGUAAAGCUCUUUUGUGCGGGAAGAUAAUGACGGUACCGCAAGAAUAAGCCCCGGCUAACUUCGUGCCAGCAGCCGCGGUAAUACGAAGGGGGCUAGCGUUGCUCGGAAUCACUGGGCGUAAAGGGUGCGUAGGCGGGUCUUUAAGUCAGGUGUGAAAUCCUGGAGCUCAACUCCAGAACUGCCUUUGAUACUGAAGAUCUUGAGUUCGGGAGAGGUGAGUGGAACUGCGAGUGUAGAGGUGAAAUUCGUAGAUAUUCGCAAGAACACCAGUGGCGAAGGCGGCUCACUGGCCCGAUACUGACGCUGAGGCACGAAAGCGUGGGGAGCAAACAGGAUUAGAUACCCCUGUAGUCCC
rnacentral:rRNA from 1 species